UGUCCAUGCUUGUGAACGCCGGGGAGAAGGAGGCGCUGGCGCGCAGAUAGCCGUGUGGUGAGGGUGCUGCUCUAGCUCACGAGAAGAAUGCACAGGUCAAUGAUUGAUUCCUACCUUAGCUUAAUUAGCUGCUGCUGCUUGCUGUGUGUGAACUCUCGCUGUUACAGAUCAACUGUGGAUACGCACUUAGCUGUAUUCGCGUCCGCACGGAGGUGAUGCGGUCCAGUUUUCUUCCUUCAUUGGAGUGAAUCCAGGAGCUUCGUAUAGAUUAUUUGACUGAAACCUGUGACCCGAAUACUUAAAUUGGCAAAGCCUCCCUUCAAAGAGAUUUUCUGACGAAUUCUUGAAAUUUUGUGUUCAUUUCAGAAGACUUUUCUGGAAGAAGAAAGAUUCCAGAAAAAUAACUAAAUAUGCACAACAUAUUUCCCGCUUUCCUACCUGCAACCUUUGGCUGUUCUCCUUGAUCCUCUUGGAUUAGUUAAACCUGUACGACGUGUCAACUGGUUAUCCUACUACACUACAAAACGAUUCUAGUAUCAUUGUUUGUUGGUGUUAGGGAGACAGGCCAGACAUUAGUAUGAUAUAUUCAUUUAUCGUGCGAUGUUGGCGUACGUAUUGAGCUGUGAAACAAAUGCACAGUUUGAAAGAAAGGAUACUAUUAAUCUAAGGGCACACUUGUAGCUCUCUACAAUACUCAUAAGUACAAAAACAGAGUGUCAGCCACCAGCAGAAGACCCUUUUGGGUGUUUAAGUCGACUCCAUUACACGCUAAGAUAUUGGACUCUAAACCAAAUGAAUAAAUCAGAUAUUUGGAUAUCUUAGCAAAUUCAGAUUUGCGACAAAAUGUAUAAUCGGUAAACUGAAUGAAUUACAUUACAAAUAGCACAAAUAUAGUCAAAUGCAAGCAAUAACCGGAUAUUACAUCUUCCAAAGUCAGGCACUAUAGAAAGUGAAAAAAAUAACAAGAAGUGGACCAGCAAUUUUCAACGGAAGAAAGGGUCCCAUCAAACUCCUUAUUAGCAUGUUUCUCUGCAGUUGCAUUUUUAUCUCUGGAGGAAGAAACAAUAGUGCAAGAUAUAGGAGAUACUAUAUUAUAAAGAAAGAGUGUAAAAUUGUAACUCAAGUAACACACAGAACUUUCUAAUAGUUUUCAUUUAGGGCAAAGCUAAUGAGAUUAUGGUACAUCUAAUUCUGGGCACUACAUUACUGUAAUAGGAUAUAACUAACAAUACCUUUCUUUUUUAUUAACCUACAAAUCUGCACUGCAUUCAGCUUUGAAAAAAAUAUACUCAUUACCAGUUCUAAAAAAGUCUGUGUAAAAGCAGUUCCAUAAGAUAUGAUUGUACCUAUUGUGUAUAAACCAAAGAGGGUGUUCGUAACAAUUUUAUCAAUAGUCAUUGUCAGUAGCUGUUUCAGGAUACAUAAUUAAAGAGAAGAGACAUCCAUGGAUAUUCUUUUAUUUUGUGAUCGGAAGUUAAAUUUAUUUUGGUAAACAAAGGAACAACAUGGGCACAUGGCCAUACUGUUUCAGUUAGAAAAACCAUUGGUCAAGCAACAGAUAAAUAAUUUAGGACUUCCUUAGACAAUACAUAAGACAAUAUAACACUUCCUUAGACAAUACAUAAGACAAUAUAACCUGUACUUCUAGCAUAUUCGGCUGCGGCAAACAUUUUAUUGUGGUAAUGCUCAGUACUGGGCUGGUGCGAAGAGUCCAAGAUUAGGGGUGCGUCUUGGCGCACAAUCCCGUGAGACACAUGUAUAGGUGAAAAAAUAAUUAACAAUCAAAAACAGUUAUACUAAUAGAUCGAGAAACAGUUGUUAAUAUAUUAUGUACAGCCAUUGAAUAGGAGGGAAAAUAUAUUAUACUAAUUAACAGAUGUUAAUUCUACCGAGGGCAACAAAAGCAAAGGAAGGAACACCAAAAUCAUCUACAUAGGCAAUGUGUAUCAUGAUCUUUAAAAAUCACAACACAAAUAAAAUGUAAAUCUACAUAACCUGUAUGGUUGACAGCAAACGAAGCGUGCAUUUUCUAUACAGUUAGUGAUAGGUAACUAUAACUCUAAUAGCAUAAUUUCAGAAGAGUUUGUAUUCCUUUCUCACGUCACUCUACAUCUUUAGAAAUAGAUACAUCUAAUUAAGGUGUAUCCUGAGCACACACACAAUUUUUUUUUGCAUAUAAAACAACAGCUUGAGCACGCAUAAAAAUCGAUGGUCAGGCCAACGACACUUCACACAUCAUGGCAAGAAACGGUGAACCGAGUAACUAAAUAAUGAGCGAUCACCUAACUAAGGGUAUGUAGCUGAUUGCUAGUCGAUGACGACGAACCUGGAGAUCCGUGGUUGUAUAGCUCCUAGGGGUACCAUCUUGUAGCAACAACAGUUGAGAUUGCCCCGACCUACCACCGUACCGUCUACCAAAUCAGUCCACGCUCGCCUCUUCACAACCGAAAAAGGAGUACUGGUCACUGGAGAGCCCUGGGCUGCAUGAUCUCCUAUCUGCUCGAAGGUGCAAAAUUUGUAAGUAGAGAGUUAAAUGAACAACUGUAAUAUUAUCAAUUUUUCAGGAGUUAGUACCGAAAGGAGAUGGUCUAAUGAUUUGGCAAACGCCAAAAAGAUGCAACCUACUCUUUCCGCAAUCCCCUUUUAUAACCUCAUUGACCUCUUAAAUUGUCUUCAGAAUUAGGAAUGGAAUUUACGAAACAAUGUAAUAAUGAGAACAAAUUACCCAACAUACACACACACGAACAAAAAGAGAUGUAGGAAAAAAUGAUGGUGAUGUGAUACAUGCGAAUCUAGACAAAUCCGGGUCACUUAUUUCCAAACGGAGGGAGUAUGAAUUAAUAAGUGUUAAUUGAUGUCAUUCUAUUUCUUGCAACCUCUUGUAAACAACAUUGUGGCAAUGGCUAGCCUAGAGGAGGCGUGGCUGCGAAGGUCGCAGCACCGGGCAACAGAGAGAUGGUCCAGUGGAAGCGUCUACACCAAGAGGUCGAGUCUAUCUGUUGGCAGCUGCAGCACCGUGGGGCAGUUGUUGCCUACAUGAGCUUCCAUAGUUGUGUCUGGAAGGCAAAAACACCUAUGCGCACAACAUCAUUUGUAUGUUUCCAUCGGAGCAGACUAAUCUUUAGGCCCAAGGUCGUUCUUUUUUCUUUUGAAUUAUCACAGCCAAGUGGCAUCUUGCACUACAUCUUCACUUAUUACAGUAACUUUAAGCACAAUCUUUUUGUUUCUUGUAUGCCUUAAGUAGGUAGCUGGGUCUUACGGCACGGACUCCGACUGAUCGAAGGUACUUCAGAAGUAAAAGUUUCUAUAAUGUUUCUGAUUAUUUGACUCAAUACAUUUGCGGAAUGCGCUCAUGACCGAAACACCUAAGAAUUAUCCAGCUACAGUAUAUCAGCAUUCCCAGAGAUAAAUUUCGGUUGCAUCUAUAUUGGAUCAAACUAAGGCGGCAUGCAAGCCAACAUGAGCUCUCAUCACUCAGGGCUGCACUUGAAGAUCUUUUAAAGGACUAAAUCUAUUGCAAGCAGUUUGCAAGAAAAUGAUAUGCUCUUAUCACUCAGAGUUGAUAUUGAAGAAUUCUGAACACUUAUAGCAUGUGGGGUUGGCAUAUUAAAUGUCAUGUAGAUGAUUCUCCAAAUCAGUUCUGUGAAAGGACAUGCAAUGAAGAGAUGGUGUAUUGUCUCCUCUUGAUCACAAAAUCAACAUUUAACGUCCCCAUAUCAAUUACGUUUGACAAGAUUAUAUUUCGUGAGAAUAACUUUCUUAUAGAGAUACCACAUGAAUAUCUUAAUUUGCAGCGAUACCUUUAUCUUCCAAGUAUAUUUUUUAAGAAAAACAGUGUGGUCAUUAAGCAAGUCAUUGUACAUUAUUUUAACAGUUAAAAUACCAGAUGUGGUGAGACUCCAUUUGAAAGUACCUUCCUGAUAAGUUAAUUGGACACGAAUUAAUUGAUGUAACAUAUGUGUUCACCUAAUCCAUUUAUUAUCAUCCAAAGUUUUUCUGAAACUAAUAUUUAGAGGAUGUGAUGCUAACACAUUUUCCACUGUAUCAUUCUUAUGAUUAACAAUAUUAUAUAAUGACGGAUAUUCAUUGGUAGGUGAAAGGGCAUUUCCCUCCUAACAUGGUUUUGCGAGUUUGUUGUUAAGAUAGAGAUAUUUAACCAUGUGCUUAUGGAUCAUAGAUGAUAUAUGUGUUAAGCUUGUCACGGUGGCCGAUCCCUAAAAAGUGAAACGAACAAGAUGUGCAUUGCAGCUUUGUGGUGAAGUGUCUGCAAUGCUCAAGAAAAUAUCGGGGGUUGGCUGGAAAUGGUGGUGGAGAAGACCCACAACAAAAAAAACCAAGUGCAGAUCUUCAGUCUGUAGACUCCGGACAAGUACACCGGAGACUCCGGUCAUCCGGGCCGGAGACUCCGGGCAAGUCUCCGGACUAACCAACUUCGAGAAGCUAGCCAAGGUGUCUCACAAUAUGUAUGGGGGUCCGGAUUCUCGGCCAGGGACUUUUCUCAAGUUCUCGGUCAUUACACUCCGGAGACUCCGGUCUCCCCUGGCCGGAGACUCCGGACAAGUUUCCAGAGU